rnacentral:rRNA from 1 species
UACGUAGGAGGCAAGCGUUGUCCGGAAUUACUGGCGUAAAGCGCGUGUAGGUGGUGGGACAAGUCUGCUGUGAAAGCGCCUGGCUUAACCGGGCGAGGUCGGCGGAAACUGCCUCACUUGAGGACGGUAGAGGGGGGGGUGGAAUUCCCGGUGUAGUGGUGAAAUGCGUAGAGAUCGGGAGGAACACCUGUGGCGAAGGCGGCCCCCUGGGCCGGCCCUGACACUGAGACGCGAAGGCGUGGGGAGCGAACGGG